AUUGAACGCUGGCGGCAUGCCUUACACAUGCAAGUCGAACGGCAGCACGGGAGCAAUCCUGGUGGCGAGUGGCGAACGGGUGAGUAAUAUAUCGGAACGUGCCCAGUCGUGGGGGAUAACGUAGCGAAAGCUACGCUAAUACCGCAUACUAUCUAUGGAUGAAAGCGGGGGAUCGCAAGACCUCGCGCGAUUGGAGCGGCCGAUAUCAGAUUAGGUAGUUGGUGAGGUAAAGGCUCACCAAGCCGACGAUCUGUAGCUGGUUUGAGAGAACGACCAGCCACACUGGGACUGAGACACGGCCCAGACUCCUACGGGAGGCAGCAGUGGGGAAUUUUGGACAAUGGGCGAAAGCCUGAUCCAGCAAUGCCGCGUGCAGGAAGAAGGCC
rnacentral:rRNA from 1 species